rnacentral:rRNA from 1 species
GAGUUUGAUCCUGGCUCAAAACGAACGCUGGCGGCAGGCCUAACACAUGCAAGUCGAGCGCUACCUUCGGGUGGAGCGGCGGACGGGUUAGUAACGCGUGGGAAUAUACCCUUCACUAUGGAAUAGCCUCGGGAAACUGAGAGUAAUACCAUAUACGCCCUUCGGGGGAAAGAUUUAUCGGUGAAGGAUUAGCCCGCGUAAGAUUAGAUAGUUGGGGGGGUAAUGGCCUACCAAGUCUACAAUCUUUAGCUGGUUUUAGAGGAUGAUCAGCACCACUGGGACUGAGACACGGCCCAAACUCCUACGGGAGGCAGCAGUGGGGAAUCUUAGACAAUGGGCGCAAGCCUGAUCUAGCCAUGCCGCGUGAGUGAUGAAGGUCUUAGGAUCGUAAAGCUCUUUCGCUAGGGAUGAUAAUGACAGUACCUAGUAAAGAAGCCCCGGCUAACUCCGUGCCAGCAGCCGCGGUAAUACGGAGGGGGCUAGCGUUGUUCGGAAUUACUGGGCGUAAAGCGUACGUAGGCGGAUCAAAAAGUAUGGGGUGAAAUCCCAGGGCUUAACCCUGGAACUGCCUCAUAAACUCCUGGUCUUGAGUCGAGAGAGGUGAGUGGAAUUCCAAGUGUAGAGGUGAAAUUCGUAGAUAUUUGGAGGAACACCCAGUGGCGAAGGCGGCUCACUGGCUCGAUACUGACGCUGAGGUACGAAAGUGUGGGGAGCAAACAGGAUUAGAUACCCUGGUAGUCCACACCGUAAACGAUGAAUGCCAGUCGUCGGGCAGUAUACUGUUCGGUGACACACCUAACGGAUUAAGCAUUCCGCCUGGGGAGUACGGUCGCAAGAUUAAAACUCAAAGGAAUUGACGGGGGCCCGCACAAGCGGUGGAGCAUGUGGUUUAAUUCGAAGCAACGCGCAGAACCUUACCAACCCUUGACAUGCCUGGACAAUCCGAGAGAUCGGACUUUCCUUCGGGACCAGUGCACAGGUGCUGCAUGGCUGUCGUCAGCUCGUGUCGUGAGAUGUUCGGUUAAGUCCGGCAACGAGCGCAACCCACAUCUUUAGUUGCCAGCAGGUUAAGCUGGGCACUCUAGAGAAACUGCCCGUGAUAAGCGGGAGGAAGGUGUGGAUGACGUCAAGUCCUCAUGGCCCUUACGGGUUGGGCUACACACGUGCUACAAUGGCAGUGACAAUGGGUUAAUCCCAAAAAGCUGUCUCAGUUCGGAUUGGGGUCUGCAACUCGACCCCAUGAAGUCGGAAUCGCUAGUAAUCGCGUAACAGCAUGACGCGGUGAAUACGUUCCCGGGCCUUGUACACACCGCCCGUCACGCCAUGGGAGUUGGUUCUACCCGACGGCCGUGCGCUAACCUCUUCGGAGGAGGCAGCGGACCACGGUAGGAUUAGCGACUGGGGUGAAGUCGUAACAAGGUAGCCGUBAAUCACUAGUGAAUUCARBCUNCUUURDAHARUBACURUMCNARCCUACGGGGGGCAGCAGUGGGGAAUAUUGCACAAUGGGGGCAACCCUGAUGCAGCCAUGCCGCGUGUGUGAAGAAGGCCUUCGGGUUGUAAAGCACUUUCAGUUGUGAGGAAAGGUUAGUAGUUAAUACCUGCUAGCUGUGACGUUAACAACAGAAGAAGCACCGGCUAACUCCGUGCCAGCAGCCGCGGUAAUACGGAGGGUGCGAGCGUUAAUCGGAAUUACUGGGCGUAAAGCGCACGCAGGCGGUCUGUUAAGCUAGAUGUGAAAGCCCCGCGCUCAACGUGGGAGGGUCAUUUAGAACUGGCAGACUAGAGUCUUGGAGAGGGGAGUGGAAUUCCAGGUGUAGCGGUGAAAUGCGUAGAGAUCUGGAGGAACAUCAAUGGCGAAGGCAACUCCCUGGCCAAAGACUGACGCUCAUGUGCGAAAGUGUGGGUAGCGAACAGGAUUAGAUACCCUGGUAGUCCACACCGUAAACGCUGUCUACUAGCUGUUUGUGGAUUUAAUCCGUGAGUAGCGAAGCUAACGCGAUAAGUAGACCGCCUGGGGAGUACGGCCGCAAGGUUAAAACUCAAAUGAAUUGACGGGGGCCCGCACAAGCGGUGGAGCAUGUGGUUUAAUUCGAUGCAACGCGAAGAACCUUACCUACUCUUGACAUACUAGAAACUUUUCAGAGAUGAAUUGGUGCCUUCGGGAAUCUAGAUACAGGUGCUGCAUGGCUGUCGUCAGCUCGUGUCGUGAGAUGUUGGGUUAAGUCCCGCAACGAGCGCAACCCUUGUCCUUAGUUACCAGCAUUAAGUUGGGUACUUUAAGGAGACUGCCGGUGACAAACCGGAGGAAGGUGGGGACGACGUCAAGUCAUCAUGGCCCUUACGAGUAGGGCUACACACGUGCUACAAUGGCAUAUACAGAGUGCAGCGAGACCGCGAGGUGGAGCGAAUCACACAAAGUACGUCGUAGUCCGGAUUGGAGUCUGCAACUCGACUCCAUGAAGUCGGAAUCGCUAGUAAUCGUAGAUCAGAAUGCUACGGUGAAUACGUUCCCGGGCCUUGUACACACCGCCCGUCAR